rnacentral:rRNA from 1 species
UAGGGAAUCUUCGGCAAUGGACGGAAGUCUGACCGAGCAACGCCGCGUGAGUGAAGAAGGUUUUCGGAUCGUAAAGCUCUGUUGUAAGAGAAGAACGAGUGUGAGAGUGGAAAGUUCACACUGUGACGGUAUCUUACCAGAAAGGGACGGCUAACUACGUGCCAGCAGCCGCGGUAAUACGUAGGUCCCGAGCGUUGUCCGGAUUUAUUGGGCGUAAAGCGAGCGCAGGCGGUUAGAUAAGUCUGAAGUUAAAGGCUGUGGCUUAACCAUAGUAGGCUUUGGAAACUGUUUAACUUGAGUGCAAGAGGGGAGAGUGGAAUUCCAUGUGUAGCGGUGAAAUGCGUAGAUAUAUGGAGGAACACCGGUGGCGAAAGCGGCUCUCUGGCUUGUAACUGACGCUGAGGCUCGAAAGCGUGGGGAGCAAACAGGAUUAGAUACCCUGGUAGUCCACGCUGUAAACGAUGAGUGCUAGGUGUUAGACCCUUUCCGGGGUUUAGUGCCGUAGCUAACGCAUUAAGCACUCCGCCUGGGGGAGUACGACCGCAAGGUUG